rnacentral:tRNA from 1 species
GUGGGCGUAGCUCAGCUGGUGAGAGCACCGGGUUGUGGCCCCGGAGGCCGCGGGUUCAAAUCCCGUCGCUCACCCCA